rnacentral:lncRNA from 1 species
CUCUGAACUAAAUGUUAAUAAUAAGGCCUGUAAUACUGUGAGAAGGAAAUGGUGGCAAUUGGCAAAUGGGACUCUGUUGCUUGGUAACAAGACCUGAGGCUGUCCACAGGUGGAUUCUGAAGAGUGUUCCCAUUCCAGUGCCUUCCCAGCCCAAAGCAUGGAUGGUCAGUUCCUUUAACACCAUCCUAAUUCUGAACUCGUAGAUUUUCCAGGGACUCCAAGAUUUUCACAAAGAACAGCAACUGCAGCGGGAGUGGAGCACCCAGGCGGUCUGCAGCGGUGUCCAUCCAUGUGACUAUUUCCUGCGCCAGCACAGUGCCAUAGGUGGG